AAAGGGCCUCUGGGAAUCAUCUCAUUUGAUCAGAAAUUUCCCACCUUGGACAGCCUCUGACAGGCCUCUCUGGCACAGUCUCACCCUUGUUAGCCUAGAGCCACGUUUUUUAUACCUGGGGGAUUUCUAUCCUGGCUGCAGCUGUCUCCCCACUUUGCUGUUACAAAAACCACUGGCAACAGAGAGCAGGGGCCUCUGCUCUUGGCCUCUGAUUUCCCCAAAUGCUUGCCCUCUGCCUGCUGUUCCUGGCCUCUCGCUGCCUGGUCUACCCUGCUCUGUUCCUCAUCAACCUCCAUUUCAAAGAGCCCACUGACAGGUCACACAGAACUGAGCCGACGGCCAGUGCAGCCGAGGCCCGGCAGGGGGUGGCAGCCUGGUGCCAGACAGUGACCUGCUGGGGCCCUCAGAAAGAAAAGGGGCUGUCACCACCGACACCUCAGAGCAACAAGCAAGCUGUAGUUUGGGAGGUCGGAGUUCACCCAAGAACAAUCUGCAGCUGCCUCUGCCUUUCCUCUUGUUUUAAAGGAGGAUUAUGAGGCUUGCAUACCUACUGCACCAACCCAUACGAAGUCAAUGAACAGGAUGAGGCCAAGUCAAUAAUACAGAUGAAGAGCAGUACAACCAUGUCUUCAUGCCUUACUGAAAAGCAAAGAUGUAUUUUAUAUCUGGAUUUUCUUUGCACUGAUAAAACGAUAUCAGC
rnacentral:lncRNA from 1 species